rnacentral:misc_RNA from 1 species
CUAGGAUUUUGAGUUAUAAUUCUAGCAACAGGUUUAGACAACUAUUGUGAAAACACAAUGUGAAAGUGUAAUACAUCUCCUUUCACUGUGAUCGCUAGCAUUGACCGUCAUUGAUAAAGGGGAUUGCUUGGUCGAUCUUAGUUUGCUUGUAUUUUUUGCAUUAUGAGAAGGGAAGAGUUAUUUUCUUCUAAAAACUAAUGAAUACAAGUAAGAUGUUCAAAUUUUGUGUCAUCCGGGAUGUUAGAAUACCCAAGCAAAAGCACAUCCUUUUUUGUGUGGAAAUUCGGGUUGCGAAGAAGUUUAGAUUUUCCCAAAUGUUAGCAAACGUGAUUUAUGGAGGUUUUCUCAAUUCAUCUUUAGUGGUAUUGGGUAAAUUUUUUUAUUUUGGAGUUAAAAUAAUUAUGUAUGACGAGUUUCAAAUUUACAUCUGUCUUAUGCUCGUUAUUUCUUGCAUUUUUCAUCCAUGUAGGUUUGGAGGCAGUGAUUUCUAUCCGGCCAGGAAAUGCUCCGCUUCCAGAGAAUCAUGGAUUCAAGACAAUUAAUACUUUUGCAGAAAUCUGAUGAAAUCAGACUUGGCACUUGUGUAAUGACACUAAAUAUGACAUGGCUUGAUGCACAAAUGUAUGCAUAAAUAAAAAUCUGUUUCAGCUUUCUUAUUUAUUUAGAGCCUUUCUUAUAAUAUUUUG